CGGCGGCAAGGAGCUGGGCCGCGCGGAGCAUGCGCAGUGCUCGAGGCCGCCCGGCGCCAUUUUGUGAGGGGCUCUUUCCCAUUUUAGGCCGCGGGAGACGGGAAGCGGGAGCGGCCGCUGCCUCCAUCUCCAUCAUCAUCAUCUCCGUUCCCGUGCCCUGCGGCGGGGCGGCCGCUCCCUCUUCGCCCUCCCGCCCGCCGUGAGGGCGCAGCGGUGCUCGGGAGCCGGGCCCGGAAGUGGAGAGAGCCGCCAGCCCAGCCCCCGCCGGGGAGCCGCGGCCCGAGGAGGAGGCGGGGCGAGGAGCCGGGCGGGAACCGGCCUCGCUGCUCCCCGCCGCGCCGGACGAGUGAGGCUGUCGGGGUGUGCCCCCGUGCGCGUGCGUGUGUCCGUGUUAUUGAGAAGCGAAACUGCUCUUCUUCCGCCCCCUCUCUCCCUGCCAGGCCGCGAGGCUGAAACCGGAGCCCGCUCUGAGGGAGCCGGUUUGAGGCUCGACCUGCCCCUGCUCGAGCCCCUUCGGGACACCGCAGACACCCCGAGCCAUCCAAGGGCCUGGCGGGGCACGCGGCUGUCACCCACGGGGCUCUCGUGUCCGGUGAACGGCGGUCGCACACCUGCGCGCCAGCGUGCGGCACCCGCGAGAGGACCUGGAGGCGCUGGGGGCCCCCGACGCCCCGGCCGAGGACCCCUGCGUCGGCGCCCGGGCGGCUUCCUAUCCUGUCUGAUCAGUGGUGUGGAUUGUGCUGGUGGUGAGCAUAUGUUCCAAUAAUGCCUCGACUUCACCCUUCCUUGAGGUUCAGGACCUUUGUGCCAGUGGAAUUAGCAUCUUUCUCCAGAACACGAGCGCCAUAUAAAUGCCACAAAGCUGCUAUCAUAUCAUAGGACAGAUACAGUAAUCCUGCACAUGAAAACAAAGAACAAGAACUUUAUUGCAAGGAGAUCUGCCAGUGUUACCAGGCUCUUGAAUGUGAUCAACUGAAGAUACAACUGGAAUAUGCUGUUUUGCUAAUCUCCCUUCUAAACCGUUUCAGGUAAUGUUUCUAGAUCCGUUAAUCUAAAAAUUCCAGGCUACCUUUGCACUUAGUUGCAAGCACACUGGAAGUAGUGAACUUUGUUCAGUUCAUUCUGUUCAGGUUUCCUUGUAAAGUGGAAUUUUAAACUGAAUAAAUAAAGCUCUCUUGCUUACCUUGG